CUACGGGUCGCUCCAGUGGGGAAUAUUGGACAAUGGGGGAAACCCUGAUCCAGCAAUGCCGCGUGUGUGAAGAAGGCCUGCGGGUUGUAAAGCACUUUCGGUUGGGAGGACUGCUUCUAGCACUAAUAUUGUUGGAAGUUGACGUUACCUUCAGAAGAAGCACCGGCUAACUCCGUGCCAGCAGCCGCGGUAAUACGGGGGGUGCAAGCGUUAAUCGGAAUUACUGGGCGUAAAGCGCGCGUAGGCGGCUAGAUCAGUCGGGUGUGAAAGCCCCGGGCUUAACCUGGGAACUGCAUCCGAUACUGUCUAGCUUGAGUACAGGAGAGGAGAGUGGAAUCCCACAUGUAGCGGUGAAAUGCGUAGAUAUGUGGAGGAACACCAAUGGCGAAGGCAGCUCUCUGGCCUGAUACUGACGCUGAGGUGCGAAAGCGUGGGGAGCAAACAGGAUUAGAUACCCCCGUAGUC
rnacentral:rRNA from 1 species